rnacentral:rRNA from 1 species
UACAGAGGGGGCAAGCGUUGUUCGGAAUUACUGGGCGUAAAGGGCGCGUAGGCGGCCACCUAAGUCGGACGUGAAAUCCCUCGGCUCAACCGGGGAACUGCGUCUGAUACUGAGUGGCUUGAAUUCGGGAGAGGAAUGCGGAAUUCCAGGUGUAGCGGUGAAAUGCGUAGAUAUCUGGAGGAACACCGGUGGCGAAGGCGGCAUUCUGGACCGACAUUGACGCUGAGGCGCGAAAGCGUGGGGAGCGAACAGG